AUUGAACGCUGGCGGCAUGCUUUACACAUGCAAGUCGAACGGUAACAGGCCGCAAGGUGCUGACGAGUGGCGAACGGGUGAGUAAUUCUUCGGAACGUGCCCAGUCGUGGGGGAUAACGCAGCGAAAGCUGCGCUAAUACCGCAUACGAUCUAUGGAUGAAAGCGGGGGACCGUAAGGCCUCGCGCGCUUGGAGCGGCCGAUGUCAGAUUAGGUAGUUGGUGGGGUAAAGGCCUACCAAGCCAACGAUCUGUAGCUGGUCUGAGAGGACGACCAGCCACACUGGGACUGAGACACGGCCCAGACUCCUACGGGAGGCAGCAGUGGGGAAUUUUGGACAAUGGGCGCAAGCCUGAUCCAGCAAUGCCGCGUGCAGGAAGAAGGCCUUCGGGUUGUAAACUGCUUUUGUACGGAACGAAAAGGCUCUGGUUAAUACCUGGGGCUCAUGACGGUACCGUAAGAAUAAGCACCGGCUAACUACGUGCCAGCCGCCGCGGUAAUAC
rnacentral:rRNA from 1 species